rnacentral:rRNA from 1 species
CGAACGAUGAUGGCCCGGGCUUGCCCGGGUCUGAUUAGUGGCGAACGGGUGAGUAACACGUGAGUAACCUGCCCCUGACUUCGGGAUAACCGCGAGAAAUCGUGGCUAAUACCGGAUAUGACACCCCGGCGCAUGGUGGGGUGUGGAAAGACUGUGUCGGUUGGGGAUGGGCUCGCGGCCUAUCAGCUUGUUGGUGGGGUGAUGGCCUACCAAGGCGACGACGGGUAGCCGGCCUGAGAGGGUGACCGGCCACACUGGGACUGAGACACGGCCCAGACUCCUACGGGAGGCAGCAGUGGGGAAUAUUGCACAAUGGGCGCAAGCCUGAUGCAGCGACGCCGCGUGAGGGAUGACGGCCUUCGGGUUGUAAACCUCUUUCAGUAGGGAAGAAGCUCUUCGGGGUGACGGUACCUGCAGAAGAAGCGCCGGCUAACUACGUGCCAGCAGCCGCGGUAAUACGUAGGGCGCAAGCGUUGUCCGGAAUUAUUGGGCGUAAAGAGCUCGUAGGCGGUCUGUCGCGUCUGCUGUGAAAACGCGGGGCUCAACCCCGCGCCUGCAGUGGGUACGGGCAGACUAGAGUGCGGUAGGGGAGACUGGAAUUCCUGGUGUAGCGGUGGAAUGCGCAGAUAUCAGGAGGAACACCGGUGGCGAAGGCGGGUCUCUGGGCCGUUACUGACGCUGAGGAGCGAAAGCAUGGGGAGCGAACAGGAUUAGAUACCCUGGUAGUCCAUGCCGUAAACGUUGGGCACUAGGUGUGGGACCCAUUCCACGGGUUCCGUGCCGCAGCUAACGCAUUAAGUGCCCCGCCUGGGGAGUAC